GGAACAUUGGUGUAACUGGUAACAUACCUGCCACCUACAAAGGUUCGAUUCCUUUAAUAGUGUUGGACACUAGAUAGGGUAGGGGUUGAAGGUUCGAUACCUUCAUGUUCCU
rnacentral:tRNA from 1 species